rnacentral:miRNA from 1 species
UUACAGUUUCCGCUGCCGCUGU